UGCGAUGUGCACUACAUAUAAGUACGAGAGGGGAACUAACAAUGAGUCAAAAACAGGUUCCUGUCGUUGCGUGCCGAGGAGAAACUCAGCUUUCAAUUCCUGUGAACCGAAACAUAUGAAGGCGCUUCAACGUUACAACGUCCAGCAUUUUUAACAGUUCCGAACACUCAAAGACAACCAGCUGAGCGACUGGACCAUAAGGGGGACAAGCUGGCAGGGGGACAAGCUGGCAGGUGGACCAUUCCUACGACGUUGGAGAAGCAUAGAUCUGCCUCUUGAUUUGAAUGAACCUGACAUUCAUUCAUUGUCAGGUUCAAGUUGGGAGGACCGAAGUGUGAUUGUAAACCCAAGCAUUUUUAACAGUUCCGAACACUCAUGAAGACAACCCGCUGAGCGACUGGACCAUAAGGGGGACAAGCUGGCAGGUGGACCAUUCCUACGACGUUGGAGAAGCAUAGAUCUGCCUCUUGAUUUGAAUGCUGAUGUAUUGACAAGUACAUCGAGCGAGGAUUCAACCCACCCAACAUGUUGUCCAGUUAUGGAAUGCCAUUGGGGACUAAACCAUCUGGGAAAGUACGGCUCGAUUCGACCAAAUGGACCACGUCAAAAAGAACGCGUUGGCGGGACCCACAUUUAACGUCUUCAGACGUUCCAAUCAAAAUGCAACGAGUGGACAAAAUAUAGGCCAAGUGCUUUCAUGGUCGAUCGUCAACUAGAAUGAACUAGGUACAGCCUAAAUAUACCUCAAACGAAACUAUAGCUUUGGUUUAUAUUGUUUAUGGUUUUUCAGUAACCAAAACGGCAGUGGUUAGUUUUUAGUCACUAACUCUGAACCUAACUAAGCACCUUGUGCAAAUAGAACACUGAAAAUAAUCUGUAACUAUGUGUAUCUCGCAUGUCUGAUCUUUUACCCACCGGUAAACUGCGAGUGUGCCGGAGCAAAUGUUCCAGGAUCUUCUUCCCCCAGACUCCACAUAGUACUGAAUGAUGUUAACGUUCAACCCCGUGGCUCUGUCAUAUCCUUGUGAGAUAAUUUGCAUGUUGACUCAAUGCCCUCGAUAAAGAACCAGGAGCAGGGCUGGCCCCUAGUGGACAUGACAGAGUACCGCCAGUGAAUUAACAAGCUAGGGCCUAAAUUGAGUUUUGAUUGGAUGACGUUUCAACUGUCAACAAAUGUAAAUGUGGUAAAAUGCACUAUAGAAAUACAACUUUUUUAAUUUUCCUUUAAUGUUACAACACGUUUUUCUGAGAUGUCAAAUAAAUGACAAAGUAUUACAAAUCAA